rnacentral:rRNA from 1 species
UACGGGGGGGGCAAGCGUUGUUCGGAAUUACUGGGCGUAAAGGGCGCGUAGGCGGUCUGCUAAGUUGGGUGUGAAAACUCUGGGCUUAACCCAGAGCCUGCAUUCAAAACUGACAGGCUAGAGUUCUGGAGGGGAUAGCGGAAUUCCUGGUGUAGCGGUGAAAUGCGUAGAUAUCAGGAGGAACACCGGUGGCGAAGGCGGCUAUCUGGACAGAGUCUGACGCUGAGGCGCGAAAGCUAGGGGAGCAAACGGG